GCCAUUAGAGCUCAAGGAAAUUGCUGCUUUUACUGCAGCCAUUAACACCCACGACACAGCUCAGUCUGACCGUCCCCUGACCCUCUAUAAAAGCCUAGGACGCCGCCCAUAAUCUCCUCGUUCGAAGUCCUCUCCUUCGGGAGUAUAUCCCCCUUCUCAUCUCUGUAAAUUCCUCGCUGGAGUUCCGUGCUGCUACAGCCGUAUGCGCACAACCACGACGAGCACAAGUUUGGUUAGCGGAAGCACGCGCUCCAAGGCAUACACGACCGACCGCGGCUCCUCACGACUCCGGCAGCUUCCCCACCACGCCCGAGGAAGAGGACGAGCCAGCCGCGUUGUUCCCCGGGUCCGCCCCGACCUCCUCUCCACUGUCCUCCACUCACUGGUCUCCGGAGCCUGCCCGUCACCGGAACCCCGCGACGCCCUCACCACCACAGCCACCCGCCGCCUCGCCGGACUUCUUUUCCCGAUAUAUCGUAAAUUGAAGGAGUGACGAGAACGAAUAGAGAAUCAACUUCAGGAAUUAGAUCUUGAAAGAUUAAGAGAGGAUAGGGUUAUGGUCUACACUCAACGAGCCCAGUGGCGUUGAUGGAGCCCUAACUUAGCGACUACAUAUAAUUCUGAUGUAUUAUGUGCCAGCUCGAGCUC